rnacentral:rRNA from 1 species
AGCGAACGCUGGCGGCAGGCUUAACACAUGCAAGUCGAACGGGCAUGGCAAUAUGUCAGUGGCAGACGGGUGAGUAACGCGUGGGAACGUACCUUUUGGUUCGGAACAACACAGGGAAACUUGUGCUAAUACCGGAUAAGCCCUUACGGGGAAAGAUUUAUCGCCGAAAGAUCGGCCCGCGUCUGAUUAGCUAGUUGGUAGGGUAAUGGCCUACCAAGGCGACGAUCAGUAGCUGGUCUGAGAGGAUGAUCAGCCACAUUGGGACUGAGACACGGCCCAAACUCCUACGGGAGGCAGCAGUGGGGAAUAUUGGACAAUGGGCGAAAGCCUGAUCCAGCCAUGCCGCGUGAGUGAUGAAGGCCCUAGGGUUGUAAAGCUCUUUUGUGCGGGAAGAUAAUGACGGUACCGCAAGAAUAAGCCCCGGCUAACUUCGUG